CCGCAAAGGGCUCAGUAAACCAGUUUUAAUUUACUAGAGUUGUUACGUUACGUACGUGGAUACCUGUGGUAAUUCUAGAGCUAAUACAUGCAAUUAAGUCCGGACCAGUAAUGGAAAGGACGCUUUUAUUAGAUCAAAAUCAUUUCGCCCGACUCGUUUGGGCGUUGUUUUGGUGAAUCUAGAUAACACACCAGAUCGUACAGUCUUUGUACUGACGACAUCUCUUUCAAACGCCUGACUUAUCAGCUGUCGAUGGUAGACUCUGUGUCUACCAUGGCCCUCACGGGUAACGGGGAAUCAGGGUUCGAUUCCGGAGAGGGAGCCUGAGAAACGGCUACCACAUCCAAGGAAGGCAGCAGGCACGCAAAUUACCCACUCCCGGCACGGGGAGGUAGUGACAAAAAAUAACGAUACGGGACUCUAUUGAGGCCCCGUAAUCGGAAUGAGUACACUUUAAAUCCUUUAACAAGGAUCCAUUGGAGGGCAAGUCUGGUGCCAGCAGCCGCGGUAAUUCCAGCUCCAAUAGCGUAUAUUAAAGUUGUUGCGGUUAAAAAGCUCGUAGUUGGUUCUGCGUGCCGCGCUGUCGGUUCGCCGCCUGUCGGUGUAACUGGCAUGUCGCGGCAUGUCCUGUCGGUGGUGAACGCAAUGCACCGGUACUUGCUAAGGCAAUAGCCGAAGUAUUGUGUCGUGUGCGAUUACGUUUGCCGAUCUCUCCUACUCCGGUGCUCUUAAACGAGUGUCGAGGUAGGCCGACACGUUCACUUUGAACAAAUUAGAGUGCUUAAAGCAGGCUGAAAUAUCUGCCUGAAUAGUGGUGCAUGGAAUGAUAAAAUAGGACCUCGGUUCUAUUUUGUUGGUUUUAGGAAUAUGAGGUAAUGAUCAAUGUGGACUGGCGGGGGCAUUCGUAUUGCGACGUUAGAG
rnacentral:rRNA from 1 species